UACGAGGGGUGCAAGCGUUACUCGGAAUUACUGGGCGUAAAGGGUGCGUAGGCGGUUGUUUAAGUCUGUCGUGAAAUCCCCGGGCUCAACCUGGGAAUGGCGAUGGAUACUGGACAGCUAGAGUGUGUCAGAGGAUGGUGGAAUUCCCGGUGUAGCGGUGAAAUGCGCAGAUAUCAGGAAGAACACCAAUGGCGAAGGCAGCUCUCUGGGACGGUACUGACGCUGAGACGCGAAAGCGUGGGGAGCGAACAGG
rnacentral:rRNA from 1 species